rnacentral:rRNA from 1 species
UACGUAGGGCGCGAGCGUUGUCCGGAAUUAUUGGGCGUAAAGAGCUCGUAGGCGGCCGGUUGCGUCUGCUGUGAAAUCCCGGGGCUUAACCCCGGGCGUGCAGUGGAUACGGGCUGGCUGGAGGCAGGCAGGGGAGAAUGGAAUUCCCGGUGUAGCGGUGAAAUGCGCAGAUAUCGGGAGGAACACCGGUGGCGAAGGCGGUUCUCUGGGCCUGUGCUGACGCUGAGGAGCGAAAGCGUGGGGAGCGAACAGG